rnacentral:rRNA from 1 species
UACGUAGGGUGCGAGCGUUGUCCGGAAUUAUUGGGCGUAAAGGGCUCGUAGGCGGUUUGUCGCGUCGGGAGUGAAAAUCCAGGGCUUAACUCUGGACUGGCUUCCGAUACUGGCAGACUAGAGGUAUGCAGGGGAGAACGGAAUUCCUGGUGUAGCGGUGAAAUGCGCAGAUAUCAGGAGGAACACCGGUGGCGAAGGCGGUUCUCUGGGCAUUACCUGACGCUGAGGAGCGAAAGUGUGGGGAGCGAACAGG